rnacentral:rRNA from 1 species
AGUAAAUUAAUAACCUAAAUUAGUAAAAGUUAAGUUCUCGAAAAUUAAGAAAGAUGGCGGUACUUUAGUCUAUUCAGAGGAACCUGUCCUAUAAUUGAUGAUCCACGUUUUUAUUUGCUUAUUUUAUUAGUUUACAUAUCGCCGUAGUUAGAAUAUUUUUAUUGAACUAUAAUAUUCAAGAUUUUAAAAAUGAAAAAAUAUCAGGUCAAGAUGUAGUUUAUAAAUAAGAAGAGAUGGGUUACAGUAAAAUUAUUUUUUGAAUAUUUUUUGUAAAAAGAGUAUGAGAAUGGAUUUGAGGGUAAUUUGUAAAAAAAUUUUUAUUAAUGAUUCUAGCUCUAAAGU